GUCCUCUUGGUCUUAUAUGAGGUCAGGCCUGCCCAGUGAUAAUUAUUUAACGGCCGCGGUAUUUUGACCGUGCAAAGGUAGCAUAAUCAUUAGUCUUUUAAUAGGGGGCUGGAAUGAAGGGCUUGACGAGGCACUAACUGUCUCAAUUUGAUAAGCUAAAAUUUAGCUUUUGAGUUAAAAGGCUCAGAUUUUUUUGGUAGACGAGAAGACCCUAUAGAGCUUUAAUGGCCAGAUUUAAUAGUUAUUUUGUUUUAUUUUUAGUGCUGUUGAUUAGGCUUUUUUGUUGGGGCGACAAAAGAUAUAUAUUUAACUUUUAUUAUUUAUUUUACAUUUAUUUAUGAUUAUUAGAUCCAGUAUUAUUGAUUAAUAGAAUAAGUUACCUUAGGGAUAACAGCGUAAUCUUCCUCCAGAGCUCGAAUUUACAGGAAGGCUUGCGACCUCGAUGUUGGAUUAAGAUAAUGGUUGGGUGCAGUAGCCCAAUUAAUAGGUCUGUUCGACCUUUAAAUUCUU
rnacentral:rRNA from 1 species